rnacentral:lncRNA from 1 species
CUGGUUUCCACAAGUGAAACCUGAUGGGGGCUGAGCCCUGCCCUAGAGCAGUAUCCUGAGGGUAGGAGCUGGCAAGACUUGUCCUAACCUAGCCCACAUGACCUUUGCAGGCUCAUCUUCCCCGUACCAGUCCUGACAGCUCAAACUCCAGCCACAUCUGGUGCCUCACCUGUCCUGGCCAUUCCCUGCCCUUUUACCCAGUGCACCUUUGCAUUCAGGCUGCUUUCUCAGCCUGAGCUAGCUUUUCCAACAAUUGCAAGCCCAGCUCACCUUCUGGGUCCACCUCAAAGACCACUUCCUCUGAGAAGUCCUCCCUGAUUCCCCUCCUUGCUGUGUCUCACACAGUCGGCUCACUCUGGUUAGGCAUGUCUUGGUCAUUUCUAUCUGGAUAUGUGUCCCUCUUCUCUUUACCCAGUGGGCUUGAGGGCAGAGGUCCUAUCUUGUUGAUACCGUGUCCUCCACAGCAAUCAGGAAGCCUCAGGUGAUAGGAGGUGCUUCAUCAUGUCCCUGUGAACAAGAAAUAAGGUUUCCCAGAACGGUCUCCAAGGUCCCGACAGCACCUCCAGGUCAAAGUUCCAGGUCUGCUGUUGCUUCCAAAAGCACCAAUCAUCUGUUGUGCGGAGCUCACACCCCGUUGAUUCCCUACUUUCCCCACUUCUCAUCUGACUGUUUUGGCCUAACUAUCAUCUUGGCAACUUCCACCGUCUCCAGGCCAGGGUCCAUCCCCUCCGUCUCUUGAGCCACUGACCUUACCUCACCAGAUGUUUACUUUGCCUCCGACUCAAGGAGUCUGAACAUUGCUUUUGCAACACAAGCCCCAGGCACCUUGUGUGACGUGGGCAUGCUACCUCACCUCCCCAAGCCUCGCUGUUCCUUGCAGGUGAGGGUCAUGUGACUACUGGGGCUGCUGUGAAGAUCAGAUGAGCUAUGGCGUGAGAUGGGCCGAGUGUGGUGAUCUGACACACAGGAAGUAUUCACUGAAUGCUUACAGAAACAGAAAGAGGGAAUAGACCUGGCUUUAGUGGCUUGCUUCUCCAUUUUGCCAGAACCUGCUCCUGGACCUGUUCUCCCCAUUUCUCUGUUUGGGAGGGAACCAGUAUCUGGCACAGAACAACCCAAAGAGGAUCCCAGGGCCCCAAGAGAGAAGAAUCCAGACCCACCUGUGGCUGCUCUUGCCCUCGGCAGGCAGCUAAGCCCAGACUUGCUGGAUGCUGCCGGGAGAGGAAGCGAUGAAGAGCUGAGGAAAUAAAUAUCCUUUUCCUGGCUGUGGAGUUCCAAAAGCCUGCACCUCCGGACAACAGAAAGGAGGAGCUGGCUAAGGCGGAGGGGGUACAGGAGGAGUAAGACCAAUGCCCCUCCCCCGAGGUGGCUGCGGGAGGGGAGAGAGCGGAGGGGAAGCCCUACAGUAGAGGGUGGUGGGCCCUAGACACCCUCCCACCAGACUGCUGAGCUAACAACCAGAGCGCCCAGUGCCACUGCCCAGGAAGCACUGUGGGGACACGGCAAAACCCCAAGAAAAGGCGGCGGCCACGGGCAGCUUCCAAGAGUGGGGAGCACGGAGAUGAAGCUAGGGGUGCCACCACUAACAGAGACCCCAUACCUAGACCACUGACAAGGCGUGUCCCCCAGACAGACAGGAUUGUGGGCCUUCACUAAUGGGUCCUCGAUCGAUUCCCCCGAAUUUAGGGGCAACCCCCUAAGUUGCCUGACAUGACAUUUCUGCUACCUAGCAAAAUAAGGGCACAGAACAAAAUUAAAUUGAGUUAUAAAAGACUAAGUCCCAUUUGACUCCAGUAGGGAAUCCCCUAAGACCCCCCAAUUUUGCGAACUGAGAGCAUGGCGGGCUACAUCAUGUGUAGA